GACGAACGCUGGCGGCGUGCCUAAUACAUGCAAGUAGAACGCUGACGGAGGAGCUUGCUUCUCUGGCUGAGUUCCGAACGGGUGAGUAACGCGUAGGUAACCUGCCUUGUAGCGGGGGAUAACUAUUGGAAACGAUAGCUAAUACCGCAUAAGAGUAGAUGUUGCAUGACAUUUGCUUAAAAGGUGCAAUUGCAUCACUACAAGAUGGACCUGCGUUGUAUUAGCUAGUUGGUGGGGUAAAGGCUCACCAAUGCGACUGUACAUAGCCGACCUGAGAGGGGGAUCGGCCAAACUGGGACGGAGACACGGCCCAGACUCCUACGGGAGGCAGCCGUAGGGAAUCUUCGGAAAUGGACGGAAGGCUGACCGAGCAACGACGCGGGAGUGAAGAAAGUUUUCGGAUCGUAAAGCUCUGUUGUAAGAGAAGAAAGAGUGUGAGGGUGGAAAGUUCACGCUGUGACGGUAUCUUACCAGAAAGCGACGGCUAACUACGUG
rnacentral:rRNA from 1 species